UGGAGUAUUUCCAGUAGGUAAGAAUGCGUCUGAUCUGGACAAUCUCCUGUUCUGUGCUACACGUGUGAAAGGGCAACUCCGGACAAUAUCGGACCUGAUUCUCCGAGGUUCAUAUGAGAAAAUGGCUUAGGAGAGGACUAUAAAGUGUGGAAAAAUAGAGAGCACUGUAAAUCAGAAGAAGCUGUAUCAUUCACCGGGACCAACAGAGGCCAGUGGAAGCCAGACUCUCCCUGUUGUUUGCAAUGUUUGGAUCGAAGUAACGGCACUGGAUGCCCCUGUGGAGGACAAGCCAAAACAAACGUAAUGCCCACUGAGGACCAAC